rnacentral:rRNA from 1 species
AGCAGCCGCGGUAAUUCCAGCUCCAAUAGCGUAUAUUAAAGUUGUUGCAGUUAAAAGCUCGUAGUUGAAUUUCGGGAUCAGUACGCUGGUCGUGCCUUCGGUAUGAACUGGUGUCACUGGUUCCUCCCUUCUGAAGAACCGUUAUGCCAUUAAGUUGGUGUGGCGGGGAAUCAGGACUGUUACUUUGAAAAAUUAGAGUGUUUAAAGCAGGCUCGCGCUUGAAUACAUUAGCAUGGAAUAAUGAAAUAGGACGUUUGAUCCUAUUUUGUUGGUUUCUAGGAUCGACGUAAUGAUUAAUAGGGAUAGUUGGGGGCAUUAGUAUUCAAUUGUCAGAGGUGAAAUUCUUGGAUUUAUUGAAGACUAACUACUGCGAAAGCAUUUGCCAAGGAUGUUUUCAUUAAUCAAGAACGAAAGUUAGGGGAUCGAAGACGAUCAGAUACCGUCGUAGUC